ACUUCUUUAGUAUAUCAGUAUCAGUGCCUUCCAAGCACUGGGUCCCACAGGGAAGGAGUA
rnacentral:tRNA from 1 species